rfam:Lachnospiraceae bacterium 10-1 genomic scaffold acPFo-supercont1.14, whole genome shotgun sequence.
UCCGGUGGUUAAGCUGUGAGGUCCCACCUGUUCCCAUUCCGAACACAGAAGUUAAGCUCACAUACACCGACAAUACUUGGCUGGAGACGGCCCGGGAAGAUAGGCAGCUGCCGGGA